UUGAGGUUGCUCCUUGUUUGUGUUCUCUCCAUCAUCACAGGCAUAAUUGUUUUCAAGAACGUCUUCCUCUUCACGUUGUUUUCUCCUCUUUUUGAUCUUGGCUUUGGGUUCACCAUUUUUUCGUAGCAGACAGAGAACAUAGUCUUCCACCUUUUGUUUCUUGUCUCUGAGUGAUGGAUCAAGGUAGAAUUCAUACAAGAUCCAACAACCGUUGUGCUCCGAUGCUUGGUUGUAAUAACCUGUUUUGGCAGCAUUUAGUGGGUUUACUGUGGAUAAAAGAAAAGUGGAACAUGUUUCCGUGUUUUGAGCAACAAAGGGAAAGCAGUGCUUCUGCUUUGACUCUCUCUCUCUCUCACUCAAACUCUCACUCUCUUUCUCGUCCGAAACCCAUUCGAAAACAGAGCACGGUUUCUCCGGUCUCUCUCUCCCACCUCAGGCCACCACAAGACACCAGACCACGUCCCACACCUUCGCCUCAAUAUUGCGCAGCUGCAGGUGGCAGCCUUGCGCUGCAGAACAGCCGGAAGCGGCGGCGGGAAGCUCCGCCCGGUUUGAGCUCGUUUGGGUUCCAAGCUUGAUAUCUCAAGCUACCGGUCACCAAUCCUCACCAAAAUUCAUCCUCGAGCUCACCUCAACCUCCUGAAACUCCCAGAAGUGUCCAUAUACGACGGUGCUGCGCGUGGUGGCAGCUGGAAGCCAGCCCCGAUCAAAAUCGAAAAAAAGGAGCUAUCGAUCCGGAUAUCUCGAGCUACAGACCAUCAUUUCUUGUUAUUAUUGCGCUGGUGAACUCAGAUUGAAGUUUUGAACAACUUUCAUGAAGGUAUCGAAGCGAGUUGUUGAAGUUUUUACGUCGGAAUUCAAAAUCGCCGGAUUCUGGAAAUUUUCCGGCCACCGAAGCUUUCGAUCAAGAUAUCUCGAGCUGUAGAGCUUCUUUUUGAGUGAUUCUUGAACCAAUGAGUUCGGCUUGAUAUUUUUAACAACUCUACAGAAGCAAUCGAGGCCUGAAAUCGAAGUUUUUACGUCGAAAUCAAGCUCGCCGUUUUCUGCAAUUCUCGCCGGUUUCUGGAAAAAAUUCCGGCCACCUCGACUGUUUUAGGUGUUUGACGGUUUGAUUUGGCGGACGAUUCGUAUAAUCGUGGUUGUGCUGUUAAGAAGACGCAGCUGGAUUAGAGCGGGUAAUCCUACAGGACAGAAGAAUCAGGAAGGCGAUCGAGCUGUGUAGAGUAGCUGCAUGUGAUACUCUAAAUUUCUAUUGAGAGGUUUGUUAUGCUCAUUUAGAGCUUUACAAUCUUACUUGUAUGAGUGAGUUGUAAUAAUUAACUCGAGGUUUUCGAGAUUUGAAUUUUGAGUGGCUUGUGGGGUGGUUGUUCAGAAAAAAAAAAUUCAGAACGUUUAUUUGUAAUAGUUAUUAUUCACGUUUCGGAUUUGAAUUGGUUAUUCAAAAUUCGGGGCGUGACAUUGGUUCUUGUAAGUAAGUUUUUUCUUCAAGCCAACCACACGACCAGUCUCCAGAGAUUUUACUGGCUUGCCGGAGUCGUCGCCCUUCCAGGUGCCAUUGCCAACGGUCCGGCGUAUGCGUGUGUCUGUGGAACUCAUCGUCUUGUGUUUGGUGAAGAAGUAGAUGUCCUUGUUGAGCCUCAAGUCGUUUGGUCUACAAGCACUGCUCCACCACCACUGCUCUACAAGCACCAUCGUGCCUCAUGUCCACCACUAUCCUGCUCACCGGCCUCUGUCGAGCCACCGGCAACUUCCACAGCGUUCAGCAGUGCCCGAAAAUGGCCCACACGCCGUCAUUUUGGAUACCCUGAAUUUUUUCUGGGCACUCAUGUUCUUCGCUGAAUCAUCUAU